GAUGAACGCUGGCGGCGUGCCUAAUACAUGCAAGUCGAGCGAGCAGACGAGGAGCUUGCUCCUCUGACGUUAGCGGCGGACGGGUGAGUAACACGUGGAUAACCUACCUAUAAGACUGGGAUAACUUCGGGAAACCGGAGCUAAUACCGGAUAAUAUAUUGAACCGCAUGGUUCAAUAGUGAAAGACGGUUUUGCUGUCACUUAUAGAUGGAUCCGCGCCGCAUUAGCUAGUUGGUAAGGUAACGGCUUACCAAGGCAACGAUGCGUAGCCGACCUGAGAGGGUGAUCGGCCCACCUGGAACUGGGACACGGCCCAAACCCCUAGGGGGGGCAGAAGUGGGGAAUCUUCCGCAAUGGGCGAAAGCUUGACGGAGCAACGCCGGGUGGGUGAUGAAGGGCUUCGGAUCGUAAAACUUUGUUUUGGGGGAAGAACAAAUGUGUAAGUAACUAUGCACGUCUUGACGGUACCUAAUCAGAAAGCCCCGGCUAACUACGU
rnacentral:rRNA from 1 species